UACGGAGGGUGCAAGCGUUAUCCGGAUUCACUGGGUUUAAAGGGUGCGUAGGCGGGUUGGUAAGUCCGUGGUGAAAUCCCCAAGCUUAACUUGGGAACUGCCGUGGAUACUAUCAAUCUUGAAUAUCGUGGAGGUAAGCGGAAUAUGUCAUGUAGCGGUGAAAUGCUUAGAUAUGACAUAGAACACCAAUUGCGUAGGCAGCUUACUACACGAUCAUUGACGCUGAGGCACGAAAGCGUGGGGGAGCAAACAGG
rnacentral:rRNA from 1 species